rnacentral:rRNA from 1 species
UACGGAGGGGGCUAGCGUUGUUCGGAAUUACUGGGCGUAAAGGGCUCGUAGGCGGCCAACUAAGUCGGAUAUGAAAUCCCCAGGCUUAACCUGGGAACUGCAUCCGAUACUGGAUGGCUUGAAUCCGGGAGAGGGAUGCAGAAUUCCAGGUGUAGCGGUGAAAUGCGUAGAUAUCUGGAGGAAUACCGGUGGCGAAGGCGGCAUCCUGGACCGGCAUUGACGCUGAGGGAGCGAAAGCUAGGGGAGCAAACGGG